rnacentral:pre_miRNA from 1 species
UUGUGACCGUUACGAUGGGCAUUUGUCUUAAGUAUAAUGCUCCUUGUAACGAUCAUAGCU